UGAGGAAUUUUGCGCAAUGGGAGCAAUCCUGACGCAGCAACGCCGCGUGGGUGAUGAAGGCCUUCGGGUCGUAAAGCCCUGUCAGGUGGGAAGAAUGUCCUGGAAUUGAACAGGUUUCGGGAGUGACGGUACCACCAGAGGAAGCACCGACUAACUCCGUGCCAGCAGCCGCGGUAAUACGGAGGGUGCAAGCGUUAUUCGGAAUUACUGGGCGUAAAGCGCGUGUAGGCGGUCCUGCAAGUCUGAGGUGAAAGCCCCGGGCUUAACCCGGGAAGUGCAUUGGAAACUGCAGGUCUUGAGUACUGGAGAGGAUGGGGGAAUUCCCGGUGUAGAGGUGAAAUUCGUAGAGAUCGGGAGGAAUAUCAGUGGCGAAGGCGCCCAUCUGGACGGUAACUGACGCUGAGACGCGAAAGCGUGGGGAGCAAACA
rnacentral:rRNA from 1 species